GGACAGCUAAAUUUAUUUUCUGAAACAUACUUUAUUGAUUUUAGGAAAUGCUUGUAUGUGUAAUUUACACACGAUCCUUUCCUAAGUUAUAUACAAACUAUCACACUUACUGUGAACAAUCCUGCCACAUUGUCAGGCAUUUAGUUCAUGAAGGGAAAAGAGAUAAAUGCAUAUAUUUUAUUUGGGGCAAAUGAUUUUAUCUUUUUAUGCUUGAAUAAGUUUUUACUUGAAUAUUUUAUUAUUAUUAUUGAGGCUGGGUCUCACUUAUCAUCAGGCUGGAGUGUGGUGGCAUGAUCACAGCUCACUGAAGCCUUGACCUUUCGAGCUCAAGCAAUCCUCUCACCUCAGCCUCCCAAGUAGCUGGGACCACAGGUUGUUUCCAGAACUUGGCUAUCGUGAAUAGUGCUGCAAUGAACAUGGAUGUACAUAUAUAGUUUCCAGAUCUGGAUUUCAAUUCCAUUGAAUUUAUCCCUAAAGAUGAGAUCGUCAAAUCAUACGGUCCAAAAGGGAGUGUGGUUUCAAAGGCAAGGCCUUCCCAGUGCCAUACCUCCACUUACUUCUCCAUCCAGGAGCUUAGAGGUCUUUGUUUAACUUUCACGCAUGCGGGAAGAUGGACUGCCCAGAGAACGUGGAGUUGAAUUUCCUGAGAUUAAAUGUAACUGAUGUAACUCCGCUAUAUGCAGGAAAAUGUUCUAAUAAAUAUUACUCUUUGAUACAAAAUGAGAUGCAAGUAUGCUGAAAAUUAUCAGAUGA
rnacentral:lncRNA from 1 species